rnacentral:lncRNA from 1 species
UCUGAGGUUGCUUUCCUUUGUCAUUGCUCUUAUCACCCCUCUGGUUCUGGCUUGACCUGGAUUCAUGCUGAGGUCCACUAGGCUCCCUUGUUGGGGACUUCCACUGUAAUGGCAUAACAGGUCCCUUGGUUCUCCACUCCUGGACUGGCUUGGGCUUCCACACUUGUGUAGGCUGUUUAGGUAACUGUUUUUGUAGGCUUGCACAAUUGUGUCCUAUUGUUUGGCAUUUCUCACAGAAUGAAGGCUUCCACUCAUACUCCACAUCUUGAAGAAAGCUCUUCCCAUUUGGAUCCAUAACC